rnacentral:lncRNA from 1 species
GCAGAAUCAAGUAGUUAAAAAGAUAGCCUCAUUUGACCCUGAUUUCCCAAUUGGGAAUAUGAAAUUUUUCCUGAAUAUAAGCACAUUUGAGAAUAGAACCUUUUACCUAACGUAUCUCACUUUUUGAACUCAUUGGACAAUAAGGGAACACCCAGUAAUAUAAUCUUUCAUAUAAAUUAGGCUUCUAACUUAUUAAGAGGAAUGUACUCCAGUCCAGUUUCUGCUACUAUCAAGAGAUGGCGUGACAAAAAAUUUUGAAAAGUUGCCGAAUGCAAACCACAGUUCCUCUUCUCAAAACAAAUGCAUGUAAAUAGAGUGUAAGCUAUUUCUUUGGUGGCAUUAUUUUCCUAGAAGGCUUAAGUCGUUAAUCACCCAUGACCGAAGAUCCAAACAUUUUCAAAGCAGAUCCGAUCAUAUUUCAGGUGGCUGAAAAUGGAUUUGGAGUAGGUUUAAUAUGGUCUACUUACAAUUUGUUUCAUGAUUGAGUGGGUCAGUAUAAUAAAGGUAUAAACAUGAAAUAACAUAGAAGGAAAGUUUGCAAAGAGGAUUUCAAAGAAGUACCUGUUGGG